AAAUAGUUUGAUUUUUGCUAUUAACUUGAUAUUUUAUUUUUAUGCAUGUAAAUUUUUGUUAGAUUAUUUAUUUUUAAAUAAUUAUUUUUUUAUUUUCAGUGUUUAUUUUUUUUUUUUUUCUUAUGAAGUUGAAGUUAAUUAUUUAUAACUGAAUAAUUUUGUGCCAGCAUUCGCGGUUAUACAAUUUGUUAAAUUUAGUUUUUUCGGUUAUCAGAUUUUUUUUUUUUUAUUUUUUUAUUUAGGUGAAAUUUAUAUAUUUAUUUUUUUUUGUCUGUUGAGUCUUUAUUUAAACCAGGAUUAGAUACCCUGUUAUUUUAGAAAAAUAUGAUUUUUUCCGGGUAUUAGAAUUGUAUUGAAAUUCAAUGGAUCUGGCGGUUUUUAAAUCUUUCUAGAGGAACCUGUAUUUUAAAUGAUAGUCCACGAUUUUUUUUACCUUUAUUUUCUUGUAUAUCUCUGUCGUUGAAUGUAAUGAAAGUUUAUUUUCUUUUUAAUUAUUUUAUUUAUGUUAGGUCAAGAUGCAGUUAUAUAAAGGUUUUUAUGGGUUACAUUAAUUUUUUUUUUUGGAUAAUUCUAUUGGGGUUUAUUGAAUUUGGAUUUAGAAGUAAUUUUUUUUUUUUAAUUUUUUGAAUUUAGCUCUUAAUAAUGUACAUAUCGCCCGUCAUUCUCAACAAAUUGAGACAAGUCGUAACAAAGUAGAUGUACUGGAAAGUGUAUCUAGAAU
rnacentral:ncRNA from 1 species